UGCAGUCGAGCGGACCCGAGGUGCUUGCACCUCAAAGGGUCAGCGGCGGACGGGUGAGUAACACGUGGGCAACCUGCCCAACAGACUGGGAUAACUCCGGGAAACCGGAGCUAAUACCGGAUAGGAUCUUUUUGUCACCUGGCAGAAAGAGGAAAGGCGGUUUCGGCCGUCACUGUUGGAGGGGCCCGCGGCGCAUUAGCUAGUUGGUGAGGUAAGGGCUCACCAAGGCGACGAUGCGUAGCCGACCUGAGAGGGUGAUCGGCCACACUGGAACUGAGACACGGUCCAGACUCCUACGGGAGGCAGCAGUAGGGAAUCAUCCGCAAUGGGCGAAAGCCUGACGGUGCAAUGCCGCGUGAGUGAUGAAGGUUUUCGGAUCGUAAAGCUCUGUUGUGAGGGAAGAACAGUUCGAGGAGGCAAUGCCUCGGAUGUGACGGUACCUCACCAGAAAGCCACGGCUAACUACGUGCCAGCAGCCGCGGUAAUACGUAGGUGGCGAGCGUUGUCCGGAAUUAUUGGGCGUAAAGGGCACGCAGGCGGUUCAUUAAGUCUGAUGUGAAAGGCUGUGGCUCAACCACAGAAUGGCAUUGGAAACUGUUGAACUUGAGUGCAGAAGAGGAGAGUGGAAUUCCACGUGUAGCGGUGAAAUGCGUAGAUAUGUGGAGGAACACCAGUGGCGAAGGCGACUCUCUGGUCUGUAACUGACGCUGAGGUGCGAAAGCGUGGGGAGCGAACAGGAUUAGAUACCCUGGUAGUCCACGCCGUAAACGUUGAGUGCUAGGUGUUAGGGGUUUCGAUACCCGUAGUGCCGAAGCAAACGCAUAAGCACU
rnacentral:rRNA from 1 species